rnacentral:rRNA from 1 species
CCUACGGGUGGCAGCAGUCGAGAAUCUUUCACAAUGGGGGCAACCCUGAUGGAGCGACGCCGCGUGGAGGAUAAGGUCUUCGGAUUGUAAACUCCUGUCAUGCGAGAGUAAGGCUGAUCUGUUAACUGCAGGUCAGAUUGACAGUAUCGCAAGAGGAAGAGACGGCUAACUCUGUGCCAGCAGCCGCGGUAAUACAGAGGUCUCAAGCGUUGUUCGGAAUUACUGGGCGCAAAGGGUGCGUAGGCUGCGCAGAAAGUCAGGUGUGAAAUCCGGGAGCUCAACUUCCGAAUGGCACCCGAUACUCCUGUGCUAGAGGAUUGGAGAGGAGCUUGGAAUUCUCGGUGUAGCAGUGAAAUGCGUAGAGAUCGAGAGGAACACUAGUGGCGAAGGCUGGGCUCUGGACAAUAUCUGACGCUGAGGCACGAAGGUCAGGGGAGCAAACGGGAUUAGAUNCCCCGGUAGUCCUGACAGUAAACGGUGCACGCUUGGUGUGGGGGGUGACCCCUUCCGUGCCGAAGCUAACGCGAUAAGCGUGCCGCCUGGGAAGUACGAUCGCAAGAUUAAAACUCAAAGAAAUUGACGGGGACCCGCACAAGCGGUGGAGUAUGUGGCUUAAUUCGAUGCAACGCGAAGAACCUUA